GUGGGGAAUAUUGGACAAUGGGCGAAAGCCUGAUCCAGCAAUGCCGCGUGAGUGAUGAAGGCCUUAGGGUUGUAAAGCUCUUUUACCAGGGAUGAUAAUGACAGUACCUGGAGAAUAAGCUCCGGCUAACUCCGUGCCAGCAGCCGCGGUAAUACGGAGGGAGCUAGCGUUGUUCGGAAUUACUGGGCGUAAAGCGCACGUAGGCGGCUACUCAAGUCGGGGGUGAAAGCCCGGGGCUCAACCCCGGAACUGCCCUCGAAACUAGGUGGCUAGAAUCUUGGAGAGGUCAGUGGAAUUCCGAGUGUAGAGGUGAAAUUCGUAGAUAUUCGGAAGAACACCAGUGGCGAAGGCGACUCACUGGACAGGUAUUGACGCUAAGGUGCGAAAGCGUGGGGAGCAAA
rnacentral:rRNA from 1 species